AAAUAUAAAGCUCAGUUGAUAAAGCACCAGACUUUUAAUCAGAUAGUCUUGGGUUUAAAUCCCAAUAUACUUA
rnacentral:tRNA from 1 species